CCCUUAGAUGUUCUGGGCCGCACGCGCGCUACACUGAUGCGUUCAACAAGUUUCCUUGGCCGAGAGGCCUGGACAAUCUUCUUAAUAUGUAUCGUGAUAGGGAUAGAUUAUUGCAAUUAUUAAUCUUGAACGAGGAAUUCCUAGUAAGCGCGAGUCAUCAGCUCGCGCUGAUUACGUCCCUGCCCUUUGUACACACCGCCCGUCGCUACUACCGAUUGGAUGGUUUAGCGAGAGCCUUGGAUUGGAGCCCAGGUGGUCGGCAACGGCCGCUCGGGAUGCCGAGAAAUUGCUCCAGCUGACUCAUCUAGAGGAAGUAAAAGUCGUAACA
rnacentral:rRNA from 1 species